rnacentral:rRNA from 1 species
AUUGAACGCUGGUGGCAUGCUUAACACAUGCAAGUCGCACGGCAGCAUUAUCUUGCUUGCAAGAUAGAUGGCGAGUGGCGGACGGGUGAGUAUAGCAUAGGAAUCUGCCCUAAAGUGGGGGAUAACGAAGGGAAACUUUCGCUAAUACCGCAUAUUGCCUGAGGGUAAGAGUCGGCUUUUAGCUGGCGCUUUAGGAUGAGCCUAUGUCAGAUUAGCUAGAUGGUAGGGUAAAGGCUUACCAUGGCGACGAUCUGUAGCUGUCCUGAGAGGAAGAUCAGCCACACUGGGACUGAGACACGGCCCAG